rnacentral:rRNA from 1 species
GUGGGGAAUAUUGGACAAUGGGCGAAAGCCUGAUCCAGCCAUGCCGCGUGUGUGAAGAAGGUCUUCGGAUUGUAAAGCACUUUAAGUUGGGAGGAAGGGCAGUAAGUUAAUACCUUGCUGUUUUGACGUUACCGACAGAAUAAGCACCGGCUAACUUCGUGCCAGCAGCCGCGGUAAUACGAAGGGUGCAAGCGUUAAUCGGAAUUACUGGGCGUAAAGCGCGCGUAGGUGGUUUUGUAAGUUGGAGGUGAAAUCCACGGGCUCAACCUGGGAACUGCCUCCAAAACUGCAUGACUAGAGUACGGUAGAGGGUAGUGGAAUUUCCUGUGUGGCGGUGAAAUGCGUAGAUAUAGGAAGGAACACCAGUGGCGAAGGCGACUACCUGGACUGAUACUGACACUGAGGUGCGAAAGCGUGGGGAGCAAACAGGAUUAGAAACCCGAGUAGUCC